rnacentral:rRNA from 1 species
GACGAACGCUGGCGGCGUGCUUAACACAUGCAAGUCGAACGGAAAGGCCCUGCUUUUGGGGGGUGCUCUACUUGCGAACGGGUGAGUAACACGUGAGUAAGCUGCCCUUGACUUUGGGAUAACUUCAAGAAACUGGGGCUAAUACCGGAUAGGAGCUCCUGCUGCAUGGUGGGGCUUGGAAAGUUUCGGCGGUUGGGGAUGGACUCGCGGCUUAUCAGCUUGUUGGUGGGGUAGUGGCUUACCAUGGCUUUGACGGGUAGCCGGCCUGAGAGGCUCACCGGCCAAAUUGGGAUUGAACUACGGCCCGGACUCGUCCGGGACGCAGGAGUGGAGAAUAGUGCAUAAUGGGAUGAACGCUGAUGUAGCAACGCCGUGUGGGGGGUGACGGCCGUCGCUUUGUAAACCGAUUUCGCCUGUCACGAGGUGUGAGUGACGGUAAUGGGUAAAGAAGCACCGGCUAACUACGUG